rnacentral:rRNA from 1 species
UGGGGAAUAUUGCACAAUGGGCGAAAGCCUGAUGCAGCGACGCCGCGUGAGGGAUGACGGCCUUCGGGUUGUAAACCUCUUUCAGUAGGGACGAAGCGCAAGUGACGGUACCUGCAGAAGAAGCACCGGCUAACUACGUGCCAGCAGCCGCGGUAAUACGUAGGGUGCGAGCGUUGUCCGGAAUUACUGGGCGUAAAGAGCUCGUAGGCGGUUUGUCACGUCGUCUGUGAAAUCCUAGGGCUUAACCCUGGACGUGCAGGCGAUACGGGCUGACUUGAGUACUACAGGGGAGACUGGAAUUUCUGGUGUAGCGGUGGAAUGCACUGAUAUCAGGAAGAACACCGAUGGCGAAGGCAGGUCUCUGGGUAGUAACUGACGCUGAGGAGCGAAAGCAUGGGUAGCGAACAGG